CAGUAGCCGCGGUAAUACGGAGGAUCCAAGCGUUAUCCGGAUUUAUUGGGUUUAAAGGGUGCGUAGGUGGCCUGUUAAGUCAGGGGUGAAAGACGGUAGCUCAACUAUCGCAGUGCCCUUGAUACUGAUGGGCUUGAAUGAACUAGAGGUAGGCGGAAUGUGACAAGUAGCGGUGAAAUGCAUAGAUAUGUCACAGAACACCAAUUGCGAAGGCAGCUUACUAUGGUUUGAUUGACACUGAGGCACGAAAGCGUGGGGAUCAAACAGGAUUAGAUACCCCCGUAGUCCCUGUCUCUUAUAC
rnacentral:rRNA from 1 species